UUAAAUGGCCGCAGUAAUUUGACUGUGCGAAGGUAGCAUAAUCAUUAGUUUUUUAAUUAAAAGCUUGUAUGAAUGGUUGGACGAGAUAAAAUCUGUCUUUAGAUAAAUUUUAGAAUUUAAUUUUUAAGUUAAAAAGCUUAAAUUUUUAUAAAAGACGAGAAGACCCUAUAGAUCUUUAUAAUAUUAUAUUUAUUUUUAAUAAGGAUUAUUUUAUUAUUUAAAUUUAGUGUUAUUUUAUUGGGGUAAUAUGAAGAUUAAUUAAAUUCUUUAUUAUAUUUUUUCAAUAAUUUUUGUUUAUUUGAUCCUUAAUUUAAGAUUAAAAGAUUAAGUUACCUUAGGGAUAACAGCGUAAUUUUUUUAAAGAGUUCAUAUCGAUAAAAAAGUUUGCGACCUCGAUGUUGGAUUAAAAAUAAUUCUAGGUGUAGAAGUUUAGAUUAUUGGUCUGUUCGACCAUUAUAUUUUUACAUGAUCUGAGUUCAGACCGGUGUAAGCCAGGUCGGUUUCUAUCUUUAUUAAAUUAAUAUAUUUUAGUACGAAAGGACCAAAUAUUUAUUAUAUUUAUAUUUAUUUUUUGAAUAAUAUUAUUACUUUGGCAGAUUAGUGUAUUGAAUUUAGAAUUCAAAUAUGUAGUUAUACUACAAGUAAUAUUGUUUAAGUUUGAUUUUAUAAUUUCUUUAAUUUGUUUUUUAUUGUUAGKAGUUUGUGUAUUAAUUGGUGUUGCUUUUUUAACUUUA
rnacentral:rRNA from 1 species